ACCCAGGUAGUGAGCUAAAUACCUACUAAAUAGGUCAAGGAGAGCCUCUGGAUGACUAUGUGAAUACCCAGGGGGCUUCACUGUUCAGUGUCACUAAGAAGCAGCUGCGGGCAGGAAGCAUAGAAGAAUGUGCAGCAAAAUGUGAGGAGGAGAAAGAAUUCACCUGCAGGGCAUUCCAAUAUCACAGUAAAGAGCAACAAUGUGUGAUAAUGGCUGAAAACAGGAAGUCCUCCAUAAUCAUUAGGAUGAGAGAUGUAGUUUUAUUUGAAAAGAAAGGGUGACCAUGGUCCUCGGGCCCUAACAUCUGGACGAAGCCUUGUAAAAUAGAAAUCCUGAGGUGUUUUAAUCCUCAGAAACAUUUGGAUUGGGACACAAAUCUUAUUUUUACUCUUAAAUUUUUCACAUUUUGGGGGACAUGGUCUAUAUUUUUCUCAGAUUUCUGAAAUGUUGUCUUUUAAAAAUGUGUAAAAGUUACAGUUCCUUUUCUAUAGUUUGUUUUAAAAUGUGGGUCAGUAGUCCCACUGCUCAGAAUAAGAGGCAGACAGGAUUUAAUAGAAUUGCAUGCCUUUGU
rnacentral:sRNA from 1 species